rnacentral:rRNA from 1 species
UACGGGGGGAGCAAGCGUUGUUCGGAUUUACUGGGCGUAAAGGGCGCGUAGGCGGCCACUGCAAGUCGGUUGUGAAAUCUCCGGGCUUAACCCGGAAAGGUCAGCCGAUACUGCAGGGCUAGAGUGCAGAAGGGGCAACUGGAAUUCUCGGUGUAGCGGUGAAAUGCGUAGAUAUCGAGAGGAACACCUGCGGCGAAGGCGGGUUGCUGGGCCGACACUGACGCUGAUGCGCGAAAGCCAGGGGAGCGAACGGG